UGCAGUCGAGCGCUACCUUCGGGUGGAGCGGCGGACGGGUUAGUAACGCGUGGGAACGUACCCAGAUCUAAGGAAUAGCCACUGGAAACGGUGAGUAAUACCUUAUACGCCCUUCGGGGGAAAGAUUUAUCGGAUUUGGAUCGGCCCGCGUUAGAUUAGAUAGUUGGUGGGGUAAUGGCCUACCAAGUCUACGAUCUAUAGCUGGUUUUAGAGGAUGAUCAGCAACACUGGGACUGAGACACGGCCCAGACUCCUACGGGAGGCAGCAGUGGGGAAUCUUGGACAAUGGGCGCAAGCCUGAUCCAGCCAUGCCGCGUGAGUGAUGAAGGCCUUAGGGUCGUAAAGCUCUUUCGCCAGAGAUGAUAAUGACAGUAUCUGGUAAAGAAACCCCGGCUAACUCCGUGCCAGCAGCCGCGGUAAUACGGAGGGGGUUAGCGUUGUUCGGAAUUACUGGGCGUAAAGCGUACGUAGGCGGAUUAGUCAGUCAGAGGUGAAAUCCCAGGGCUCAACCCUGGAACUGCCUUUGAUACUGCUAGUCUUGAGUUCGAGAGAGGUGAGUGGAAUUCCAAGUGUAGAGGUGAAAUUCGUAGAUAUUUGGAGGAACACCAGUGGCGAAGGCGGCUCACUGGCUCGAUACUGACGCUGAGGUACGAAAGUGUGGGGAGCAAACAGGAUUAGAUACCCUGGGUAGUCCACACCGUAAACGAUGAAUGCC
rnacentral:rRNA from 1 species